UGCUGUGUCUCUUGGGGUUUUUGUUUUUUGUUUAAACUACCCUCUUAAAUUGGUUUCCGCAUAUGCUUCGGAGUUAGUGAUUCGAGCAAUUAAGCCUUUCUUUAAUUAGCACGAGUGGGGCUGUUUGGAUUUUUUUCUUGAGCAAAAUGGUUAAGGGCAAAACCUUAUCUUUAAAAAAGAAACGUCAUUUAACAGCAGGUAGAGAAUAAGCAAGAUCGCUUCCUUGAAUGUCCCACCCCCCUCCAUUUGCCAUAAAUUGGCAAAACGUUUUCUAGAGACUCGUUGGACGAAGCCAAUGAGCUCUCCAUAUGUACGGGCGCAUUUUAAACUUUUCUAAAUUGGAUUUAAAAAAAAAAUAUGAAAAGAAAGGAUGGCUGAGUCAAAUAGCUUCGAGGAGCCUUAACGGAAGAACUUAUUUCCAGUCUGUUUAGGUCUCAAGAGGACUUAUUUUCCGAGGGUUUUUUUUGUUUUGUUUUUCGCCAACGGAGCAGAACCGUAGCGCAUUCCAAGGUUGUUUCAGGUUUGUUAAUGUUCGCAAUAAUACCGGUGAGUAAAGAUCUUUGUUUGGAGAGCCUGACGCCCACAAGGGAAGACAUAUUAUAAGAAACGAACAAGUUUAAUUCCUGCAGAUUCGAGGUCGGGGAACACAUUACGAUUCCUCUUAGCUGACACGCAAACCUGGGCGAUGUACAUUAGUAAUGAACAGCUAACUUACACGUUUCUCCUCAUGGGGAGUAAGUUGAGGGGGGGUAUUCUUGGAUUCAGUCAAGAUCAAAGAUUGUUGGCGUCAUUAACGACAGUCUCUAGCGCAGGAGGUUUUGUAAAACGCGGGUCAUUCCAGUCACUUGAAAGGCUUUUCAUUUGAAGCGUUCCUUUUUAACAAUGCAAGAGCACGAUCCGGUCAAAAAGUUAAGCAUUAAAAGAGAGAGAGAGAUUUCCAGAGGAGAAUUAAGCCUGGAGCUUAAAUCGCCCUCGCGGUAAUUCACUGAACUCACAGGUGUCUAACUUCGGCAGGUGAGUCCUCCAGGUUUACAGCUCCUGAAAUUCCCCUUUAUAUUCUCAGAUGUAGUAGCUGUUGCUUUUCAGUCGCUUACAAUGUAUCUUGCUCUUUUCCCACCACUUCUCUUUAUUUCUUUGGUCAUUUUACGGAGAAAAAGCGGGUGGAGAAGGCAGACCCCGCUGGAAGAAAGGGACUAAGCGAAGGAGCAGAAAGAGAAAUCUAAACCCAAGAAAACGGACCGUAGGAAAAUUCCAUUUAAUGGCGCCCAGGAGCGGGAGAAAUGUCUCCCUCUCAAUCGCGCGUGCACCAAUUAGGAAUUCUCUUUGAUGUUGAACUGCUCCAUUCCGACAUCGGCGUACACUUGGGCCUUGGGCGAUCGCUGCGCCCCUCCACGGGAAGGUCGUCCUUCACUUGAGCUUGGGUAGGAUCAAUGCCUUUCCCUUGGUCGCUUGGUUUUCCAUUUGACCUCAGCCACGGGCAGGAGGAGAAGGUGAAGGACUCCCGCGGUGUAGAGUCCCGUUGGCGGCGGCGGCGGCGGCGGAAGUUAAUUCUUCGCAAG